rnacentral:rRNA from 1 species
GACAGAGGGUGCAAGCGUUAAUCGGAAUGAUUGGGCGUAAAGGGCGUGUAGGUGGUAAUCCAGGUUUGGUGUGAAAGCUCUCGGCUCAACCGAGAAAGGGCAUCAAAUACCAGAUUACUAGAGUGAGAGAGAGGACUGCGGAACUUUCGGUGUAGCGGUGAAAUGUGUAGAUAUCGAAAGGAACACCAGUGGCGAAGGCGGGUCUCUGGACAGUUCCUGACACUGAGACACGAAGGCCAGGGGAGCAAACGGG